rnacentral:rRNA from 1 species
GACGAACGCUGGCGGCGUGCCUAAUACAUGCAAGUCGAACGCUGAAGGAGGAGCUUGCUUCUCUGGAUGAGUUGCGAACGGGUGAGUAACGCGUAGGUAACCUGCCUGGUAGCGGGGGAUAACUAUUGGAAACGAUAGCUAAUACCGCAUAAUAUUGACUAUUGCAUGAUAGUCAGUUGAAAGGUGCAACUGCACCACUACCAGAUGGACCUGCGUUGUAUUAGCUAGUUGGUGGGGUAACGGCUCACCAAGGCGACGAUACAUAGCCGACCUGAGAGGGUGAUCGGCCACACUGGGACUGAGACACGGCCCAGACUCCUACGGGAGGCAGCAGUAGGGAAUCUUCGGCAAUGGACGGAAGUCUGACCGAGCAACGCCGCGGGAGUGAAGAAGGUUGUCGGAUCGUAAAGCUCUGUUGUAAGAGAAGAACGAGUGUGAGAGUGGAAAGCUCACACUGUGACGGUAGCUUACCAGAAAGGGACGGCUAACUACGUG